UUCUGUUCUCUAGUUAUGCCAUUAAUAAUUAUAUUUGGAUUUGAGCUGCUUCAUAAUUUUCAAGUCCUCUCUCUUUCUACAACGUCUCCUCCCUUCUGGAAUCCCUACCUCUUUGAGAAUGGGUUGGGUGUUAGGAGGUUGCUCAUCACCAGCAUAUAACUUCCACACCUGGGCACCAGAUUUUCUUUUCGCUACUUAUACUCCUAACUAUAAACAAGGGCAUUUAUUUGAAGAAUCCUUGCAGAUUAAAAAUAAUUAGCAAAUUGUAAUUUUGAAAAUAAAAAGUCUAAUUGCUGAAAGGCAUUUGAUAAUUCUCAAUCUUCCGUCCUACUCAGUUUUCCUGUUUCUGUGCAGAUUUGUUUUUUUUUUCCAGUGAAUUUUUUUCUCACACUAGCAUUUUCUUACGCAUGGCUUCUGAUUUAUCAUUUUAUAGUCUGAGUCUUUUUGUGGCUUUCAGGAACUUUGUGUCGAAACCAGCUAUGGUCCAAUUUCUGCUGCUGUGUAUGGAGAUCAGUAUAAGCCUUCGCUUAUUACUUAUCUAGAUGUAGCCUUAAACCAUAUGUCGUGCUUCCAAGGAUUGUUCUAUUGCCCUGAAGCAGCUUCUUUGUUGCUUCACAAUUUCUGUAUAUAUAAUAUUACUCCUCCAGGGCAUGCGGUCUGUAAUUUGACUUUAUAACUUCCUUGGACGUACACAUGAUUUUGUUUGUGGAUUUAGUCAAGUGUUUUUACAGUCAGCUCCAAUUUCUUCAGAUAAUCCCCGUGCCUUCUGUUGAUGAUUUGGCUGAUCAGGUGACUUCUUUGGGUUAGAUUCUGUAAUGUGUAUGGGAGUCACGGCAGGUUCAUACAUUCUUACCCUUUUUGCUUAUUGAUCUCAGACAAGAUACAGUAAUCGUGUGCUUGGUUUGAUACCGGUAUCUCCUCUCUGUGGAGCAGCUUCUUGGACAGAAUGGCUAUAUGAUAAUGUUUUGUCAAAUUUGCUAUAUUAUUAUGAACUUUGUGGCUUGUUCAAGGAUUACUUGCUUCAGAGGUACUUCAGUAA